UCCUCAAAAUCACCACCGAAUGACAUUCAGCCGUUGCCGCCGCCAAGUAGUAAAGAACCGUUGUCGCCGCCAAGUAAUGAAGAACCGUUGUCGCUGCCCAAUCAUAAUGAACAAGUGGUCCACCCGCCGAUUCCAAUGGCCCAUUGGAAUGGGCCAUAUGAAAAUAACCCGCCCAUUCCAUUGGGUCAUUGGAAUGGACAAAAUAAUAGACGUGGGCGAUGGCAGCAUGGUCGACAACCCUACAAUGAUGAAUACGAGGAAAGGGGCACCUCAAUUUCAAAAUUGAAAUAUAAAUUAACAGCGAAAAGGCGAAGCACCCGCUAUUGGCGAAGCCAGGCCAACUAUUGGAAAACCCAAUACGAGGCUCUUGCCAGCCAUACAAAUUCGAGC